rnacentral:tRNA from 1 species
GGUAGAGCUCAGUGGUAGGGCAUUUGCCUAAUAUACACAAGGCCCUGGGUUCAAUUCCUAGCACUACUG